UCUAGCUUGCGCUGGUCGCCGCCAGAUGCGCUAGUGAAAAUAAAAAUUACACUUGCGAGUACGAUCAAUGUACACACUUAAAAAUAUUUCACGACCUCGGUUAAAAAAACUGCCGAAAUCCGUCGGCUCUUUCGAUUCUUGCUGAUAUGUCAGUUGAAAAAACCCAGUAGCCGAAAAUCAGUACCAUUUAAAACUGAAAUAUCAGUUAAAUAAAUAUUUGAACCGAAACUCGGCAACACAACAUGCCGAGCACAUACGUUAACACUGCUGUCACUGAGAUAAUCCGUCAAAAUAACCGAGAUUUCAGCUUUACUACUUGGAUUAGCCGAGGCUCGGUAUUCUAUCUGUCAUUCGCCAUUCUGUUAAUCUCGUGCUAAUGAAACGAACACCUUUCGGAGUGAUGUUGUGAUGUAAAAUAAAAAAAAUAAAAAAAAAGUGAAAAUGAGUCUCUCAGCGUGAAAAAACGAGAAUCAGUAGCGUGCGAUCGAGCACAGGUAUGGAGCGGGAUUGGGGCUAGGAAACUCCAUCAGCGCACGCAACCGGUGCUCUUCAGAGCGUCGCUCGGAGCAGUCCCUAUUCAAGGAUCAGAUGUGGAAGCUAAUCCGGUUGGUUCAACCUUUGCCAGACCGUUCAAACUUCCAGGAUUCAUUUCCGGUCACCUACACGAGAACCGUGCCUGUACCAGUGCCCGCUCCUUGUCCGGCUCAUUUUCCUGUACCGGUACCACAUCCAAACGCUGUACCCCAUCCGGCGGUUGAAUCGGCGCCUGUCCCAACACUUUCCAUCACAUCAAAAAACCCCAUUUGAUACGCAAAUAAAAUCACUAAAAUAAAAAUAAAA